rnacentral:rRNA from 1 species
GACGAACGCUGGCGGCGUGCUUAACACAUGCAAGUCGAACGGAAAGGCCCUGCUUUUGUGGGGUGCUCGAGUGGCGAACGGGUGAGUAACACGUGAGUAACCUGCCCUUGACUUUGGGAUAACUUCAGGAAACUGGGGCUAAUACCGGAUAGGAGCUCCUGCUGCAUGGUGGGGGUUGGAAAGUUUCGGCGGUUGGGGAUGGACUCGCGGCUUAUCAGCUUGUUGGUGGGGUAGUGGCUUACCAAGGCUUUGACGGGUAGCCGGCCUGAGAGGGUGACCGGCCACAUUGGGACUGAGAUACGGCACAGACUCCUAAGGGAGGCAGCAGUGGGGAAUAUUGCACAAUGGGCGGAAGCCUGAUGCAGCAACGCCGCGUGCGGGAUGACGGCCUUCGGGUUGUAAACCGCUUUCGCCUGUGACGAAGCGUGAGUGACGGUAAUGGGUAAAGAAGCACCGGCUAACUACGUG